rnacentral:tRNA from 1 species
GGAGGCGUGUCCGGUCUGGUGACCGGCGCGGUCUUCAACACCGACGGGCGGCAGGACCUGCCGCCGGCGGGUUCGAUUCCCGUCCGCCUCCG